UACGGAGGAUGCAAGCGUUAUCCGGAUUUAUUGGGUUUAAAGGUGCGUAGGCGGAUAUGUAAGUCAGCGGUGAAACUCACAGGCUCAACCUGUGCCGUGCCGUUGAAACUGUGUAUCUGGAAUGCGGAUGCUGUGGGAGGAAUGUGUAGUGUAGCGGUGAAAUGCAUAGAUAUUACACAGAACACCGAUUGCGAAGGCAUCUCACAAAGCCGUUAUUGACGCUGAGGCACGAAAGUGUGGAGAU
rnacentral:rRNA from 1 species